GUGGAUUUUUAGCCCUGGUGGGUAGCUUCCCGGAAACGAAAGUCUUCCGGUUCCGGGGGAAGUAUGGUUGCAAAGCUGAAACUUAAAGGAAUUGACGGAAGGGCACCACCAGGAGUGGAGCCUGCGGCUUAAUUUGACUCAACACGGGGAAACUCACCCGGCCCGGACACCGUAAGGAUUGACAGAUUGAUAGCUCUUUCAUGAUUCGGUGGUUGGUGGUGCAUGGCCGUUCUUAGUUCGUGGAUCGAUUUGUCUGGUUUAUUCCGAUAACGAGCGAGACUCUAGCCUACUAAAUAGUAACGAGAUUAUCAAUGUCUCAGUUGCUUCUUAGAGGGAUUUUCGGUGUUUAGCCGCACGAGAUUGAGCAAUAACAGGUCUGUGAUGCCCUUAGAUGUCCGGGGCUGCACGCGCGCUACACUGGCGAAAUCAGCGUGCUGUAUCCAUUCUCGAAAGGGAUUGGUAAACCCAUGAAAAUUUGCCGUGCUUGGGAUCGGAAAUUGCAAUUAUUUUCCGUGAACGAGGAAUUCCAAGUAAGUGCGAGUCAUCAACUCGCUCUG
rnacentral:rRNA from 1 species